CAAAAGACAACAAAAUUAUGUUUUCUUUUGAAUGGUUUGACUAUUUCAACCUACUACAUUAUUGUUUGGUUAGUUUUCCAACUUAAAAUUUUAGCCUUCGUAAUUUUUCUUGAAAAUGUCUCUCGUAAUAUAUAUCAUCAUGGAAUAUUUUUUUUUCCAUGAUAUCAACGAAUAUACAAUAUAGAUGAAAAACCAUUUUUAAUGGAAGGCAUCAUCAAUCAAAAGUAACUAACUUUAAUGUUUCCAAUCCAAUAGUGCUUUGGUUCACCAUGUGGGCUAAUUAAAUCUACUCUAAUGGAUCAUAUUCAACAUUGAAUAUGUAUUGGAAUGUCACUAGAUCGUAUUAAGUGGAACCGAGAAAUGGAAUGUUAUAAAUUCUAAUAUUGGUGAAGGACUCUGAUAUAAUAUAUUAUGAGUUUUAUAGUAUAUUUAGUUGGAGGGGUUUGAAGGGGAAGUAAUAUUUAUUAAAAAAAAAUGUUUAAUUUCUAAUUUUAAGAGGAGAUGAGAGCAAAAUCACUCCUUUAAGUGAUUUUUGUUCUCCUUCCAUUUCAGGAAGAGUUGGAGGGGAAGAGAGAGCUGAUAUAACUUAAAAACCAUUUACAAUAUUUUUUUUCCCUUGAACUAAACACAAAACCAUUAAAAUCCAUCUAUUCUCCUCUUUUAAACCAAACAUCUCUCCAUUUACCCUCCUUCCCCCUUCAUCAAAAUUCCUCUCAUCUCAUCUCAUCUCAUCUCAUCUCAUCCAUUCCAUCAAAUAGCCUUAGGUGCUGCUAGUCCUUGCUUCUCAAGUGGAAUCUUAGCUGGAGAAUUUGCUAUUCCUGAGAACCUUUUGCAUCUCUUAUAGGAACACUAUACAUUUGUUGCCCCAACACAUUUGUCAAGGUCGUGUGCAACUAUCAACAACAAUAUACAUUGUCAACAUACCACAUAUAUGUGUGUCGGGUGAGUUGGAUCUGCUCCAAGGGCCCCUAACUGAAAUAGUUGAUGAUUUGACAUUCAUCAUGCUUUCCGUACUCAAGAUUGAAUACCACUUCCUCUAUAAUUAAGAUCAUUGCCAUACAUAUCAUAGGGAAGUGAACAUUUCCACUUUACGAGAAACACAAAGAGCGAGCUUUCAUUGCAUGAUGGCCCCAUUGUGUAGCAAGUGUGAGUUAGAAAUUUCACAUUGCUUAGAAAAGUGAUGGUUGAGGAACAUAAAAGUGAGAUAACUCAUUAAUACAUUGUCUUAAAGUUUUGGGUUAAGAUGUUUUGUUCAACUAACUUGUGUGGUUGUUUUUGGCUAAUAUGGAUAAACUCAUUUUAUUAAGAUUUUGGAUUAAGAUGUGGUAUCCAAAUCACUUGUAUGGUUACCCUUGGCCUAAUGUGAAUGAUCCCUUGGACUUGUUUUAUGACCCAACAAGUCAAAGUUAGGAGACCAUUAGUAGUUGCCAUUUUCAUGAAGUUGUUUCCCUUUGAAAACAAGAUGCACACCACACAAUAGUGGGUCAAUGGCUCUCUAUUACUUCUUUGUGCCUAAUAUUGGUCAUUGCUAUGUCAAUAUCAAAAUGAUUAUAGUCGAGAUCAGGAGCGCUCGGAACAAAUACCUCUAUCAUGGUCUAGGAGUCAAGGAAAUGAGUUGAGUCUUUAUUCCUAUGAAGAAUUAAUUUCUAUGGUACAACUUGAGGAUAGUUCAAGAAGAAUCAACAAUAUAAGAUCAAAGAAUUGUCUGAAAAUACAAAGUACAAUACAACCUGUAAAGUUAUGUCAUGUCUGCAAACUCAACAUUUUGUACAUUUACAAUAAAUGUUUUUCUCAACUCAAUGAAUCAUUUCUCAACA